UCUAAUAUGGCAGAUUAGUGCAAUAGAUUUAAACUCCAUAUAUAAAGUAUUUUACUUUUAUUAGAA
rnacentral:tRNA from 1 species